rnacentral:rRNA from 1 species
UACAGAGGUCUCAAGCGUUGUCCGGAUUCAUUGGGCGUGAAGGGUGCGUAGGCGGCGCGGUAAGUCGGGUGUGAAAUCUCGGAGCUUAACUCCGAAACUGCAUUCGAUACUGCCGUGCUUGAGGACUGGAGAGGAGACUGGAAUUUACGGUGUAGCGGUGAAAUGCGUAGAUAUCGUAAGGAAGACCAGUGGCGAAGGCGGGUCUCUGGACAGUUCCUGACGCUGAGGCACGAAGGUCAGGGGAGCAAACGGG